GGAUUGUGGCUCAGAGGUAGAGCGCUCCCCUAGUAUGCAUGAGCCACUGGGUUCAAUCCUCAGCACCA
rnacentral:tRNA from 1 species